rnacentral:lncRNA from 1 species
CACUUGUCGCCCAGCUGCGAACUGGAGCGGGAGGCGGCGGCCGGAGGGCCCAGGACAGCCCCGGGAGGGCGGCGAGGCGGAGCAGGAGCGCCCCGGCUCCGGCCACAUUCUCAGAGUCAGGAAAAGGGGCGAGAGGCCACAUGUCUCCCUCUCGCCCAACUGAAAACGAAACGGCGCUCCAGCAGAUUGGGUGGAAAGAGCUGGGUCUCUUUUCUCUGUUUUUCACGCUAGAAAGGGCUUGUAAACAUUGUUCCUUUUAAAAUGACCUACCCCAGGCAUUUGUUUGGGCACACUUCUGUCCUGGGGUCAUCGUUCCUAGGUGGCUUCGGACCUGGGACUUUUCCUGUAUCUGCACAUUGUCGUUUUAUACACAAUUGCCAAGGUGGGACUGCUUUCAACUUUACUGUGCUUGAAGCUGCAAAGGUUCUGCCCUGAUGUUUCCUGGAAUAAUGCUGAGGACUGCCUUUCGGGUAGCCGCCCUAUUCAGUUCACUUCAUCUCGGAAAUACCUGACCCCUGCCUUGGAUCCAGCGGCCCUCCUGAGAGCUGAGGAAGGAGGAAAUCCUAUGUGUCUGCUCCCGGAGCUGCCACAACCCAUCUUCCCACAACUCGGAACUUGGAAAAAGGAACCCAGGACACGACUUUGCUUUUCUUUUGGACCUAGUUGAAGUCACAGCUUGGAGGAAACCAGUUUGCACUAUUUGAUGAGGAAUUUGGCCACCAAACCACUGAUACUUUCCCAAAGGUUUGGCAGAAAUUGUUUUUUGAGUGGCUCACCAGAGUACCCAGAAGAAUCAGUAUGGAAUUAGAGGACAGUGGCCUACCCUAAAUAAAGACAUGAGUGAUGUA